rnacentral:lncRNA from 1 species
AUUAAAUCCAACUUUUAAACGCUUUGUGAACAGGCCCAGAGGCAAAGUCCUGGGCGCAAACCCACGAGCCGAGCUGCGAGGCUGAGAGGAAGUGCUAGUCCAGCCCAACCCCGCACUGGAUUUGGUGUGGAAACCGUCAGAGGUAAAAGGGCCCCCGGGCCGCGGUGACAGCCCCCGUCCCCAUAGGGCUGCGAGCCCGGGAGUCCCUAUAGGCUGGCGACCGGUCGCCCGCCGGACCUCACCCAGGCGGGACGCGGCAGGAGGACGCUCGCCCUGCCGGAGGGGCCGCCGCCGCCGCCCGAAGCGCACGCAGGCCAAGCUCAGGCGCCAAAAGCCUUGGACUUCGAAACACACGACUUCCAACAUCCUAAGCUUACCCAAAAAUUCUCGACGAAAUACGCCAUGACCAUCGUGCCGCCGCCGCGCCGGGUUCCGCGUCCGCGCCCGCCCGCCGCUGUGUAAACACGGCCCGGCCCCCACAGCACCCCCGCCUUUCGCCGCCGCCGCCUUCUUCCCAGAGACCGGCCCGCACCUUCCAGGGCGCAUGCGCCACCUAGCGGCUGCCGCAGCUGGGCGAGCACUUAGACGCCACGGCCACGGUGUGCGCAUGCGCCCUGUCCCCAUUCUCGGGUGUUGGUAGAUCUCUCUGCAUCCCGGGCGCGGCUGGGUUGAGUGUUCUCUUAGGAAUGGUGGAGAACUGGGUCCUUGAGGAGUCACCGGGGAGACUGCUCGCACUGUUUGUGGUGCGACGGGCACUGGCCCAGGGACAGAGGGAAGAGAAGGGCCAGCCAGCGGCAGUGGAGUCGGCAGGCUGGCUGCCCACUCGCUUUCUCUCCUCACAAGACUCGCUUCCCCGGCCUUCGAGGAUCUCGAACGGACUAUAGUCUGGACUCGCUGGGCUGGAGGAAACUUGGCCGCUGGCCACCCGGAGGAGACUGAGAAGCCUUUGGUCAACAGGGCGCCUUUCCUUGAACCAAAACAAAACUUUCCGAAGCCGGAAAGGAAACGCCCAGUGUCGCCUGAGAGCCCUGGAGCUGCGCGAGACCCAGGCACUGAGUGCGGCCUCGGCCUCUGACCUCUAACACGCCGGGAACAAACCAGCUGGGGCGGCCCGCAGGCCUGCGGGAGCGGAAUGUGACCCGAAACCGACGGACUUCCUGACCCAUAGUCCAUAGUUCUCUUCAGCAACUUGAACAUUUUGGAAAAAGAAACAAGUCUUAACAUGCCACGACCUAAUGGAAAAACUAAAUCCCCUUCCUACACCUUGCUUUCCAAAAGUUAAAAAAAAAUAGUUAAACGCUAUUAGAGGUCUCAAGUUCACUGUCACCAGAUCAGCUAGGUCCAGAAUCUUCAGUUCUUGAAGCCAAGCCCUACAAAUAGAUUUAUUGUAGCAUAUCACACCUCUUCAGGUGACUUAAAACAAUGAGAAUUCAUGAGAAAUUAUCUUCAUCCUCAAGUAAAAAUCAUGAGGUGCCUUUCACAUGGAUGAAAUUGCCCUGCUGUCUCAUGUUUCGUCAACAGGAAGAAAAAUACGUCUUCAAGUUUGUUUUGUUUGUUUGAGAUGGAAUCUCGCUAUGUCGCCCAGGCUGGAGGUGCAGUGGCGCGAUCUCGGCUCACUGCAACCUCCGCCUCCUGGAUUCAAGCGAUUCUCCUGCCUCAGCCUCCCGAGUAGCUGGGACUACAGACGCCCGCCACCAUGCCCGGCUAAUUUUUUUGUAUUUUUAGUAGAGACGGGGUUUCACUGUGUUAGCCAGGAUGGUCUGGAUCUCCUGACCUCAUGAUCCGCCUGCCUUGGUCUUCCAAAGUGCUGGGAUUACAGGCAUGAGCCACCGCACUCGGCUGUCUUCAUGUUUUAUCUUAUCUUCCCUGACGCCUAUAUUUCUGAUUUGUGUUCUUUUAAUUCAUGACAAUUUGUUUAGUCUCAACUUUUAUUUGCUCUAUGGUGAGAAUGCUUUAUCUACUAUUUGUUUUGCGGGGGCGGGGGCUGGGUAUUCCCAUCUUUUCUUUUUUUUACAGUUCCUAUGCUAGUUUUUAUUUUAUUUUAGGUCAACUUUAAAUAAGGUGAGUUCUUAUCUAUUUACUGGAGUUUUGUAUGAGAGAGGCCAAGAUGGUAUUCAUGGUCAGCAGAAACUCUCCUCAUGAGACAGGGUUAUGUGCUACGUGUGUGAAUAAACUUUAUGUUUUGCUUCUCUGCAGCCUCCUUGAGAUCAGCACCAAUGGGAUGUCACAAUGCAGACUCUCUCCCCCACUCUUUCCUCAACUACAGACUACUUCCUGAAAAAUAUGAUUAGUUUAUGAUAUUUCUUGCUCAAAUCCGCUUCCUCAGCUUUUUCUCAGUACCAAACUGUCCAGAAAAGUUCCCACCACCGGAACCUCAUUCCAUUGUUGCAAACAAAGAGAUUAUUGAUUUUUCAUCUUAGGCUAUGCACUUCACGUUAGAGUCAUGGAUUCUGCUGGCUCUGUACAUUUCUGUUUGAUCUUCACUGCUUUUGGCAGACUUUUUUUCUGUUUUAGUUUCAAAUAUCUUCUAGUUGCAUCAGAUAUAGAGUUGACAUUACCGUUUCUUAUUCUUCUUAUUACUUUUGGGUGGCUAGGCAGUAAAGACCUAUGUUCUUUGCCAUAUUAAUACCUAGAUAAGAUCAGAAGAUGAUUUUGCAUUAAUUCUGCCUGGCAUUUAGUAGACUCUUCCAAUCCAAGUCUGGGAAAUGUUCUUUUUUUAUUUCUUUGAUAAUUGUCUCCCUUUUAUUCUUACAGUCCUAUAGCUGUAUAAUUUUAGUUAUAUUUAUCUUCUGUAUCUCUUAAUAUUGCUGUACUUUUUCUUUUUCUUUUUUUCUUUGAGACAGAGUCUUGCUCUGUUGCCCAGGCUGGAGUGCAGUGGCACAAUCUCGGCUCACUGCCCAGCUCUGCCUCCCGGGUUCACACCAUUCUUCCCCCUCAGCCUCUGAGUAUCUGGGACUGCAGACGCCCGCCACCAUGCCCAGAUAAUUUUUUUAUAUUUUUAGUAGAGACGGGGUUUCACCAUGUUAGCCAGGAUGGUCUCGAUCUCCUGACCUCAUGAUCCGCCCGUCUCUGCCUCCCAAAGUGCUGGGAUUACAGGCAUGAGCCACCACGCCUGGCCUAUUGCUGUACUUUUUCUUUUGUUCUUUUUUUUUCUUUUUUGCAUAAAUUUUGGAAAAGUCUCUCAGCUCAAUUUUCCAACUCAUUAAUUGUAUAUUCAGGUUAGGGUAAGGGUUAUUGUAUAUUUAGCCCAAUUAUUGGAUUUAGUCAUUUUUUUUUUUCUUUGAGAAGGAUUCUCACUCCAUCACCCAGACUGGAGUGCAGUGGCGCAAUAUCGGCUCACUGCAAUCUCUGCCUCCUGGGUUCAAGCAAUUCUCUUGCCUCAGCCUCCUGAGUAGCUGGGAUUACAGGCACCUGCCACCACGCCUAAGUUUUGUAUUUUUAGUAGAGACGGGGUUUCACCAUGUUGGCCAGGCUAGUCUUGAACUCCUGACCUCAGAUGAUCCACCCGCCUCAGCCUCCAAAAGUGCUGGGAUUACAGGCAUGAGCCACCAUGCCUGGCCGCAAUAAUAUUUUAAAAUUUCCAUGAAUUCUGGUUGUGUUUCAUAGCAGCUGUCUCUUGUUUCAAUGUGAUUUACUUUAAAGCAACUCUGAGGAUCUGAACUAUGUUUAAUUUCAAGUUUUUAUCUGUUUCUAUUGACUAUUCUUUUUAAGUGGGCUAGUUCUAUUUGUUAAAUUUGGUGCUCUCUUUAGUGCUCUUGGUUUCUCCAAAUGUUUGUUGGUUCUUUUGUUGUUGUUGUUCCAUUUGUAGGAACAGAAUUUCAGUCUAGACUGAAAUUCAUAGCUGGACGCAUUUCCUCACUUCAAAUGAGAACUCAUGUUUACCUGGCAGUGAAUGCAAGUUUUGAUUACAAGAAUCUGCCUCAUGGGAUUUGGUAGGGAUAGGCAGACUCUGUAGGUAACGUCUCUUCUUAGAAUAGUUUCCUGACCCUCCAGGGUAUUGUCCUUUUCCUCUGACCUUAGCUUACUCUGGAACAGUAAUAUGUUGGUAAAUGUUUGACAGCCAGCUCUGGGUGGAGUGGGGGAAGUCCUAGUUUGCAGCAUUUCCUGAUUUCCAUGCAAUGUAAAAUCUCCCACCCUAGCCAAUUUUCAAGCUAGCAACAUAACAGUCACUGAAUGGGGAGUUGAGAAGAGAUGUGCAAACUAGAUUCUUAAGAGACUGACUUCAUUUAGCAUACCAUUGCUGUGGGGCUGCUGUACUAUGUCAGAAAACUAUACCCAUGACUCUCAUCUAAGCCCAAACAAUGGAGCCAGCUGCUCCAAGAGCAACUCCAGGAAUUGAUGGGGACUUAGGGGUAUGGCUCCGUUAUUUCUUCAGUUAACAAAGUACUUUGUUCCUUUGAAUGGUUUUAGGUUCUUAUGCCCUGCUAGAUUUCUCUACUGAUUCCCACGUUUCUUAUUUUUUUCAAAAAUUCCUUUCUAUAUUGUUUGCUGGAAGCACCUUUUCUGGUUUUCCUGUGCUGCUUUGAAUUUAUUUUUCUAUUUCUUUGUGAUUUCAGUGGAAUUUGGAGAAGGAAUGGCAAAGCGGAAGUCCUUCUCCUAUUUGAUGUCUUAACUUGUUUUUACUGGAAGUCACUUCCUCUUUUGUCUCAGAGGCUGAUUCGCCUCCCAUAACCAGUGAUUUUCCUGUAAGCUCAUUAUCCUGGAUGAUGGCUUGACUAACCAAGGCUACUGGCUGCUGAGGGGUUUCUGAGGAAACUUUGGUAGCCUGAUUGAGGCCAUCUGCCUCUCCACCUGCACUGUAGUUGUGGAGUACACCACUCUGUUCAUGGAGGCCAUGCACACUGGCCAGAGAAGAGCAGCCCAUGUGCAAAAGGAUCCAAGUAAGCAUUUUCCAUUCUCACAGGUCAAAUAAGAGGACUUCCCACAUUUAUUCAGAAGGUAGUUGAAAGUGGUCAGCCCCAGAUCUCCCCUAUGUGACUCUUUGGUUGAUGCUACUUGUACCUCAACACUUGGAAGGCCCGUUCUGGACAGGAGCAACUUUCACUUUACUCUGGAAACGUGGGCAGGUGGGCACAGAAUAGAGUGAAUCUGAGGCAGAAACUCCUUCAGGCUAACUUUGUGACGGACACUGUUCUAAGUCUUCAGGUGAGUUAACUCAUUUAGUCUUCAAGACAAUCCUCUGAAGUAGGUAUUUUUAUCAUCCUCAGUUUACAGACACAGAAACUGAGACACAGAAAGGCCAUUCAGCCACUCAGUGGUUGAGGCAGGACUGACACUCAAGAAGUCUUGUGACAGUUGUAAUGAGUUAGUCGUGAUGGUGGCUACCAGGUAGGUGUGUGGAUAGAUAUGUAGUGGCCUCUCCUCCGAUGGAAAACUCCCAAAGCACUGAAACAGUCUGGUAGCUGUAGUUGCCGAGGUGUGUAGGGGCAUCGGUGAGCUCAGCAGACUGUGUUCCAAGUCACAUUAAAGAGGCAGAUUUAUUGCAAGCCUAUCUCCUAGAGACAGAAUGUAUUUUCCAAAAAUGGGCAACACACUGUGUCCCAUCUCACAUGCUGUUCUUAUAAUAUAACUUUGAUACUACAUUCUUAUUUAGAAAUGGAAGCCCAUGUUUCCUCCCUUUGAUGCUGGGCAGAAUUGUGACUACAAUGAAAAUAAUGCUAUAUGGCUUUUGAGGCUAGGUCCUAAAAGGUAAUGCAAUAUACGUACAGUUCUCUUGGAAUAUUUAAUAUUGAAAUCCGACCACCACGCUGUAAAGAAGACUGCAGCCCAUGGAGAAGUCCACACAGCCAGAAACUGAGGCCCAAGGCUCACAUCCCCAGCUGAGCUCCUGGCCUACAGCCAGCCCCAAGGUGCCGUCAUGUGAAUGAGACAUUUUGAAAGUGGAUCCCCCAGGCCCAGGCAAGCCAUUCCUGACAAUAAAAUGUGGAACAGAGAUGUGAUUCCUUUUUAAGACCUCCCCAAAUAACAGAUUCCUAAGC